rnacentral:rRNA from 1 species
AUUGAACGCUGGCGGCAUGCUUUACACAUGCAAGUCGAACGGUAACAGGCCUUCGGGUGCUGACGAGUGGCGAACGGGUGCGUAAUGCAUCGGAACGUACCCAGAGGUGGGGGAUAACGCAGCGAAAGCUGUGCUAAUACCGCAUGUGAUCUGAGGAUGAAAGCGGGGGACCGAGCAGCAAUGUUUGGCCUCGCGCCUUUGGAGCGGCCGAUGUCGGAUUAGCUAGUUGGUGGGGUAAAGGCCUACCAAGGCGACGAUCCGUAGCUGGUCUGAGAGGACGACCAGCCACACUGGGACUGAGACACGGCCCAGACUCCUACGGGAGGCAGCAGUGGGGAAUUUUGGACAAAGGGCGCAAGCCUGAUCCAGCAAUGCCGCGUGCGGGAAGAAGGCCUUCGGGUUGUAAACCGCUUUUGGCAGGAACGAAACGGUGUCCGCUAAUACCGGGCGCUAAUGACGGUACCUGCAGAAUAAGCACCGGCUAACUACGUG